rnacentral:rRNA from 1 species
CGAAUGGGGCAAGCGUUGUUCGGAAUCACUGGGCUUAAAGCGUAUGCAGGUGGAUUUACAAGUCAGAAGUGAAAUCCCAGGGCUUAACCCUGGAAUUGCUUUUGAAACUGUAGAUCUGGAAUCCCGGAGAGGUUAACAGAAUUCCGAGUGUAGAGGUGAAAUUCGCAGAUAUUCGGAGGAAUACCAGUGGCGCAAGCGGUUGACUGGACGGGCAUUGACACUCAGAUACGAAAGCGUGGGUAGCAAACAGGAUUAGAUACCCUGGUAGUCCACGCCAUAAACGAUGUGUGCUAGUUGUCGGGAUCUUAGAUCUCGGUGACGCAGCGAAAGCGGUAAGCACACCGCCUGGGGAGUACGGUCGCAAGAUUA